rnacentral:rRNA from 1 species
AACGAACGCUGGCGGCAUGCCUAACACAUGCAAGUCGAACGAGACCUUCGGGGCUAGUGGCGCACGGGUACGUAACGCGUGGUAACCUGCCCUUAGGUUCGGAAUAACUCCCCGAAAGGGGUGCUAAGACCGGAUAAUGUCUUCGGGCCUAAGAUUUAUCGCCUUGGGAUGGGCCCGCGUUGGAUUCGCUAGUUGGUAGGGUAAAAGCCUACCAAGGCGACGAUCCAUAGCUGGUCUGAGAGGAUGAUCAGCCACACUGGGACUGAGACACGGCGCAGACUCCUACGGGAGGCAGCAGUGGGGAAUAUUGGACAAUGGGCGAAAGACUGAUCCAGCAAUGCCGCGUGAGUGAUGAAGGCGUUAGGGUUGUAAAGCUCUUUUACCCGGGAUGAUAAUGACAGUACCGGGAGAAUAAGCGCCGGCUAACUCCGUG